rnacentral:rRNA from 1 species
GAUGAACGCUAGCGGCAGGCUUAAUACAUGCAAGUCGAGGGGCAGCAGCUUUAUAGCAAUAUAGAGGCUGGCGACCGGCAAACGGGUGCGGAACACGUACACAACCUUCCUUGAAUAGGGGGAUAGCCCAUAGAAAUGUGGAUUAAUACCCCGUAAUAUAGCGGUGUGGCAUCACACUGUUAUUACAGUUUCGACGAUUCGAGAUGGGUGUGCGGCUGAUUAGGUAGUUGGUGGGGUAAGGCCCACCAACCCUUCGCUCAGAGCUGAUGUGAAAGCCUGAUCAGCCACACGGAACUGAGACACGGGC